rnacentral:rRNA from 1 species
AGCAGCCGCGGUAAUUCCAGCUCCAAUAGCGUAUACUAAAGUUGUUGCAGUUAAAAAGCUCGUAGUUGAAUUUCGAGACCGGUUUAUUGGUCGUGCUUUUGUACGUACUGGUAUUAUUGGUUUCUCCUUUCUGACGAAUCUUAAUGCCAUUAAUUUGGUGUUUUGGGGAAUCAGGACUGUUACUUUGAAAAAAUUAGAGUGUUUAAAGCAGGCUCACGCUUGAAUACAUUAGCAUGGAAUAACGGAAUAGGACGUUUGAUUCUAUUUUGUUGGUUUCUAGGAUCGACGUAAUGAUUAAUAGGGAUAGUUGGGGGCAUUAGUAUUCAAUUGUCAGAGGUGAAAUUCUUGGAUUUAUUGAAGACUAACUACUGCGAAAGCAUUUGCCAAGGAUGUUUUCAUUAAUCAAGAACGAAAGUUAGGGGAUCGAAGACGAUCAGAUACCGUCGUAGUCUUAACCAUAAACUAUGCCGACUAGGGAUCGGAUGAUGUAAUUUUUAAUGACUCAUUCGGCGCCUUACGG